GUGGCAUCUCAUUGUCAUGGUCUUCAUCUUAGUGUUAUAUUCGGUAGUUUGUCGAUUUGGAUCCUUGUUAUGCCCUGAUUUGUGCUUAAUCUUUAUUUAUUCCUUCUCUGUUUUCUUCACCGGCAAUCGGCUCCUCAGUGCAAGAUCGAUUUGGAUCCCUCUCCUAGGACGCAUUGGGGAUAAGGUUUCAGGUAGACGAUUGAGGAUCAAAAAGUUGCAUAAGAGCAUACACAGAUACGCACAACUAUGUUUUACACGACGUACAAUGGUCUUGUGGUACCUGAUGUUCCUCUGGAAGAGACAGAUAUUUUGAGAAGCGAGGCUGCCAAGAACAACCUUGAGCUGGUGUUACUAACAACACCAACUACACCAACAGAAA